UGGGGAAUAUUGGACAAUGGGCGCAAGCCUGAUCCAGCCAUGCCGCGUGGGUGAUGAAGGCCUUAGGGUUGUAAAGCCCUUUCGGCGGGGAAGAUAAUGACGGUACCCGCAGAAGAAGCCCCGGCUAACUUCGUGCCAGCAGCCGCGGUAAUACGAAGGGGGCUAGCGUUGCUCGGAAUUACUGGGCGUAAAGCGCACGUAGGCGGCUUGUUAAGUCGGGGGUGAAAUCCCGGAGCUCAACUCCGGAACUGCCUUCGAUACUGGCAAGCUCGAGUCCGGGAGAGGUGAGUGGAACUGCGAGUGUAGAGGUGAAAUUCGUAGAUAUUCGCAAGAACACCAGUGGCGAAGGCGGCUCACUGACCCGGUACUGACGCUGAGGUGCGAAAGCGUGGGGAGCAAACA
rnacentral:rRNA from 1 species